rnacentral:rRNA from 1 species
GACGUAGGGCGCGAGCGUUGUCCGGAUUUAUUGGGCGUAAAGAGCUCGUAGGCGGUUUGUCGCGUCGUCUGUGAAAUCCCACGGCUCAACUGUGGGCUUGCAGUCGAUACGGGCAGGCUAGAGUUCGGUAGGGGAGACUGGAAUUCCUGGUGUAGCGGUGAAAUGCGCAGAUAUCAGGAGGAACACCGGUGGCGAAGGCGGGUCUCUGGGCCGAUACUGACGCUGAGGAGCGAAAGCGUGGGGAGCGAACAGG